UGAUUUGAUCAUAUCGUUUUCAUUCCUUAAGUUAUCGUGAUGAUAGUGACUUUUGCAAAAUUUAGGAAGCAACGCUAUGUAUAUGGAACCAUUUUAAACAACGUUGCCCAGAUCACAGGAGUUGUCAAAUUUGAUUUGCAUGCGGAACCAGAGACUGGAAAAACAAAGCUUGAAGUAGGUGGAAAUGUUCCUGGAAUUUUCGACCUUGGACCUGGAAGAUUUGGCUCAGAGGCAAUAUUUGUUCCCCGUCAACCUGGGACUGAAUGUGAAGAGGAUGACGGCUACUUAAUAUUGUUUGUACAUGAUGAGAACACUGGGUACUCCUCUACCACUCUCUUGCAUUGCAUAUACAAAAUACACAAUUACUAUAACUUGGACCUUUUCUCUGUGAGACCAAAAGAUUUGACAUUGACUGUCUUUAAGUUGAAUUUACUUUUUUAAAGCAAACCAAAGUGGGAAAGUGAUGUAGAUUUCAUCUAACUGCUUUCUGCUUCAAGCCUAGCAAUAAGUAAAAGAGCAUAAUAAUACAACUCACAAUUAUUUGAAGAUUGUGGUACGCCCAAAAAAUAUUUAAGGUGGUGCCCUGUUAGGCAACCUCCUGCUGAAUGUUCUCCAAAUUUUUCACAAGUUCACUAUCAAAAUGAAAGGAAAGUAUCAUUCGAUCAGUCAAACACACUGUAACCUCAAACUAGUUAGGGUUAAGAGUCAUGUGUAUCUUACUCUCUAUUUGGGUUCACGUUUAUUGCAGAAAUGGUAAGUGGUUUGUCUUUUAAGGCAAUUAUGGAUUCUCUAGAAUGAGAUGGUCCUUUAAAUCUCACAUUCUUUCCUACUCAGACUUAAUAUAAGAUUAGCAACACUAAGCCUCCUGACUAGUUUGUAUCUCUUAUAUGGGUCAUUUACUUCCACUAUGUUCUAUUAGUACCAAUAUCUAAAGUUCUGUCAUCUUGGCAUUUUUCGAUUAGGCAACCUAUGAACAGUUGUUUUUAUACAAGCUACCUUCCAAACUAAAAAAAAAACUAAGAUUGUAGGUCUUCUAAGUCAAUUUCUCUCCAUGACAUUUUACAUCUACCUCGUCCCUUUUAGUGUCUUCAAACACCAUAGUGUCAGCACCUAUAAAUUGGUGCACUUGGAGGUCUAUAUAUGAUAUGUCCAAACCAUUCUAUGUAUGUGAUUUGCACCCUUUUUAACCAUUUGAUAUCUAUUAGUACUCUAUAUCUUAAUAUCAACAAUUCUACAACACUUUUCUUGUAGAUAUAUUGUUAUUGGGCAUUAGAGCCUCGGCAUUCACUUCAUAUUAUUAAAUUGUUCGUCACAUAAAUGUUUAAAUGAAUUUCCUUUCAAUUUGUUAGGUAUCUUCUAUAUUGCCUAUCACCCUCUAGUGCACGUCCAAUUCAACCAUCCCAAUUUAAUUCUACUGGAUAUAUCUUCAUCUAAUAUUUCAUUUUCCCUGAAAACUGAUUCUAGAUGUCUAAAUUGUCACCAAUUAUGUAUCACAAUCCUACUCAAUCUCAGUUCACCUUUGUACUUCUUAUGGAGAGUAAACUUGUAAUGUAUGUAUUUUUGUCCAACUCUACUCAUCCUUAAACCUUACUGUCUAGAGUGUUUGUCCAAAGUUACAACUUUUGGUUAAAUCACUUAGAAGUUCUCAAUUAACAUGAUAGCAUCUACAGCUCCCAUGCCUUAUCAUGUUACUAUUGGUAGUUCGUUCAUAACUAAGGGAAACAAGUAAAGGGUAGAUCCCUCACACAAACUCCCGGUUAUAGAAUACGCCUUUGUAGUUCCUCUUCUCACACUUGUGACAUCUCCCUUAUACAUAUCUUUUAUCAACACAUAUAUUUGAUAUGGAUUUUUUCCUUCUCAACUCCCACAAAAGGACUUACUCUUGGUACUCUUAUCAUAUUCUCUUCUAAGUCAUUGAAUACCAUGUAGCGAUCCAUCUUCCUCUACAUAUUAAUUUUCAUCAGUUUUCUAAGAAUAAGUAUAGCCUCUACUACAUAUCUACUUUUCAUAACGUAAAAUGGUUAUCUAUCAUCCUUGAAUUCCUUGAGAUAUAUACUCAAAAAGGAGAAUUAUUGGUCGAAUAAAUCCUAGAUAGGUGAAUGACCAAUGUAAUGCCUUCCCUUUCAGGGGUAUAAUUGUGUUCAUUAUUUUGUGCUAGAAACUUGAAAUAUUCUCUGACCAAUUUCAUUUUCUGGUGUACAUUAUGCAGAAAGUCAUCAGUGAAUGUAAUUGAUGCGAAAACAAUGUCAGCUGAACCUGUGGCAGUUGUUGAAUUACCUAAAAGAGUUCCAUUUGGAUUCCAUGCCUUCUUUGUCACAGAGGUGAGUUAAGCUAACUUUCUUUGACAUAUAUGAAACGGUUCAGAGUGCGAAAUUGAGAGGAUUUAAACAUGUGAUCUCAUUUCUCAUUCAACUUUCUGUAGAGUUGCAAUUUGCUGUUUCUCUCUGUUUACAUUUUGGUUUAAACUUGCUCUCAUUCUCGCAAUUCAUCGUCCUCUGUACAGGAACAAAUUCAAGAGCAAGCCAAAAUGUGAGAAGAGUGGAUCAGAAAGUCAGUCUACGAACAACAUGCAACUAUGUUUUCAAUUGGCAUCAUCAAUAUUAUUCUGUGAUAUAUAUUGUAAUUAUAUGUUCAUAGUACCUGUUAUGAGCAGGUGGCUACUGGUGACUAUAACAUAGUAAUAAAUGUAUGUCAAGUUUUCUGUGUGUAUCUGCACUCAUUUCAUAUUAUACAAAUGAUUAUGGAACUGCUAAAGUUUCCUGGCUAUAAAUAUUUUUUGCUUUUUUUAUUCAAAAUAGCUUUUGGUUAUAUAUCAGUACAAUGAUAUAACUAAUGCAAAAACAAUGGAAUCUUGUGAGUGUAUUUACAGCUUGUUUGGAUGGUUGUUACCUAUUGUAUCAUAUUAUUAUGUUAUCAAUCUUAAUAUGAUUUUUAUUUUUAUUUUAUUUACUAUAUGAUAUCGUUAAAUUCAUUGUUAUGUUAAUGAAGAGGAUGUCCCAUUUUAACAAUCGACUUGUUAACUUAUUUUUUUCUUUUCAUUUUGUCAUUGUUUAUUAUUUAAAUAAUUUUAUUUUAUUAUUUACCAUAUCUUUUUAUAAUAUCUAUAUUCAUAACUUUCUUUUUUGUUGUAAGUUUAUCUUUCAAAUUGCUUUUACAUGACAUUAUAUAAAGAUAUAAAUUAUAUAAUUUAUUCAAAUAUUAAAUUUAUCAAAAUAAUACAAUACAAUAUAAUUAAUUAUUUGACUAUAUAUUCAAUUAUUGUAUAUUCACUUGUCAUUACUAUAAAAACUCAUAAAUUUUAUAUUCUAAAUUCGUCUCAAUGGUUAAAUAUCGCUCUAUAAAAUAGAGAGAAAAAAUUAAAUAAGAUGGAAAAACCAAAAAAUUCUCAGUCUAGUAACUUUGCACCUAUUGAUGAAGAAACACCUCCUUGCAGGGACCUUCUUGUCAAAGGCUACUUGCUUGUAAAUAGCUACUACUUCCCCUUAUUUACAUUUUCUAUCCAUCUUUUAACUUAUAUCAAACUUACAUUAUAGUGUAUUUUAACAUAGAAAUAUGUAGCGCGCUUAUUUUUCUUGUUUUAUCAUGUGGUUUGCAGGCCUCUUAUAUUUCGUGUUACUAAUAAAUUUAAUUUACUUUUCGUAAAUAGUUACUUGUAUAUAUUUUAAGUGAUUAUCUUAUAAUGUAGAAAUUCUUUUGCAAUAUCAUGCAUUGUAUAGAUAUUCUUUCGUGCUGAAAUAGGCAAACCUAUCUUAUUUCAAAUAGUUAAAAAGCAAAAUUUGACCUUCUUUCCUUGUUUUGGAGCAAUUGUUUGUAAGAAUGAUAUUUUAAAGUUAGUUUGCUAAUUGAAGAGAAUAUUUGAACCAAAAACAUAGCGAUAAGGACAUUUUGAACCAAAAACUUUUGGAAAAGUACAACCGGCUCAUAAAGGCUCAAAAAUGUCCUUAACCUAUUAGAAAUAGUUUUAAAAUGCCCUCCUUUCACCUAUUGAUUUAAAAAUGCCCUUAACAUUUUCUUUAGGUUCAAAAAUGCCCAUUAAGUAAUAGAAAUAUGACAUGGAAUUUGACUUAACAAGUGGCCAUUUUAUAUUGGUCCACAUAAUUUUUUUACCCAAUUAAAGGAUCCGACUCACAGAUGAUUGAAGCCUUUUCUCUGUUCUUUAUUCCUCUGUUUUUUUCUUCAAAAAUGGUAGAUGUUUAAUUACUUUCAAUAAAAAAAAAAUAACAGCUAAACUGCAACAUUUUAACUCGGGCAAAACAGAUAGUUAAAAUGCAAAUCUUAAGGCUCAUAGUAGCAACUUUCAACCCAACAAACAAACAAGUAAAAUGAAAAAAGCAACAGCUAAUUAAAAUGCAGAAUUUUAAUCCAAUAAAUAGCAGCUCAAAUGCAUAAUAGUAUAGGCAAAAAGUACAACAUCAUAUAAGGAUGAAAUGUUUUUCAUUUAAACAUCAGUUUAAAGCCUUACAUAGCAGAUUACAAAACCUGUACUAAAAAAAUACUAUACAUUGGUAGAAGAACUAGCUACCCUUUGCAUUGCAUACAUGAUUCGACGGCUUAGAUUGAACAAUUUGUACAAUGUGGUAUUUGAUUCGGUUCUUUUAAUUGGGUAAAUAAUGAUGUGGACCAAUAUAAAAUUUUCAUUUGUUUAGUUAAAUUUCAUGUCAUAUUUCUAUUAAAUAAUGGACAUUUGAACCUAAAAAAAACGUUAAGGGCAUUUUUAAACGAAUAAAUAGAACGAGGGCAUUCUUGAACCAUUUUCAAUAGGUUAUGGGUAUUUUUCAACCUUUUCCCUUUAAAUAAGUACAUAUUUUUUCAUUAUCCUUAUUUUAUACUAUUGGUAACAUGAUAUCAAUCCCCCCUUUCCUUUUCAAUUAAGCGUCCUUUUUUCUUCUUACACUUUGUCAUUUUGAGGAAAAUGAGUUAGAUUGUUAUAUGGAAGAGGAAAACUCCAUAAAUUCCUUUUACUUGUUACUUGUUAAUUUGUCCAAAAAGAUGAAACUUCACCAAACAAGUAUGAGAAAUUUUUAUAUUUUUGAUAAACAUAAUGAAGUUUAAAAUUAAUACAAAAAAUUUCAAGAAGAAUAACGUAUUCGCGUGAUGUCCAGAUAUUACAAAAGAUAAUCAUGUUUUAAUUUAAAAUUAACUAACAUUUAUUAUUCACUUGUUAAUAUUUUUUAAAAUUAUUUCUAAAAAGUUAAAAACUUAUUUAUUUAAACAUAUUAAAUUAAUAUUAUUAGUACGCAACUAUCUUUGUAAUAAUAUGAAAAUAUAAUCUCUAUAGUAGCUAUGGCAUGUACAGUGGCAUACACAUAAAUUUUUGUAAGUGGUGUCGUCACUUAAAGGAAAGAACAAAUGAAAAAAUUAAAGAAAAGAUUAACUAAUUUUUGAACACUAGAAUUUUUAAUAGUCAUGUUUGACCAAACUCUUAGAAUCAAACUUAUUUUAAAAAGUGUUUUUUUUUUCAAAAAAAUUAUUUUGGCCAGAAGUGGUUUAUGCUCGAUCAAUAAAUUUAUAAAAUAUUUUUUAGAAGUAAUUAGUGUUUGGCCAAGUAAAUAAUGUAUUUUUCUCAAAAAACAUUUUUCAAAAAAUUGCUUUUAGACAAAAGCUAUUUUUUUUUAGACAUUGAAAAACAACAUUUGCUACUCCCGAAGGCCGAAACACAUUUAUUUUUCUUCAAAAGCUUGAUUAAAUCACUUAUUUUUUUAAAAAUGAACAUUUUUACUUUUAAAAGCUUGGCCAAACAGAUUAUAAUGCGGUUCAAGCUUGUGGUCAAGUAAUUUAACAUCUAAGACAUAAUGCAAAAAUGAUUCUUGAUUGAUUGGUUUGAUUUAAAGAGCUCAAAGGGGAGGGUUUUUGGGUUCGAAUGUCACUUUAAAAUGAAAGAUAUAUUUCACACUAAGGAAACACUUAACCAACAAGCCAUCCGGGAGUUUGUGUUAACUGUUGUCAUCGGUAUUAUAUAUAAAAGUGUUUUGUUUUUUCUGAUAUAUGUAUAUGUAUAUUUUAAUUAAACUUUCCGACUAAGUAGUGUCGGAUGACACCCCUUCUUACAAGGUGGGUCAGCCCCUGGGCAUGUAUAAGACAUAAAAUUAUAAAAAAAAAAAUUAGUAUAUUUCACAUUUGUUUAAUUUAAAAUAAUCAUAUUCAAAAAAAUUCUUUAUUAUAUUAAAUUUCAAACUAAAUUAAAAUAGGACAAAUAAAUUAAUAUGAAAAGAGUAAUAAAUAAAUUACUAUAAAAUACAAACAUGAACAUACAACUUGAUACAAAAUUAAUCUAUGCAGUUCGUAUUUAUCAUUAAAAUUAGUUUACAAAAAUAGAACUCUUCUCAAAGAAAUACUACGUGUUAGAACUCUGAUUUUAUAUCUUUUGUUAGCAAGUAAAAUCUGAUAUUGUAUCUUUAAUUUUAUUUUUGAAGAAAAGAUAGGUUAAAAAACAAUCCACAUAUACACGAUAAUAAAUUUCAACAAGAGUCCAAUUAGAACUCUUUUUCGACAUUACCAACAUGGGUUCAUGUGGUGCACUAGUGGGAGUGUUUCACCCUUAAUCAAAGGUCUUGGGUUCGAGUCCUGAGUAUGGAGAAAAUCUUGUUGGGAGCGCCAUCCCCAAAUGGACCCUGCAGAGCGCGAUUCGAAUUUAAUCAGAGCUCCAAUAUGAGCUUUGGACACCGGUGGAAAACCAAAAAAAAAACUCAUUUUCGACAAAUUAGUAGGAUUUGAUAACGUAUCAUCUAAUAUGAUAACAAUAAAAGUUCAGUUAGAACUCUUUAGUGUGAUAAUUUUUUUAAUUUUUUUUUUAAAUCGCUUAGAUUUUGCAUUGAAGUUUCGAUUAAAUUCAUAUCACACUUGACAGCUAUUCAGUUUAAUGGAUGACACUUAGGAGUGUGCAAAAAUCGAACUGAGUGACGAACCAAACCCAAAAAAGUGCUAUUGGUUUAUGGUUAUUGGGUUAUUGAAUUAACGGGAUUUUAAUGAUUUUAUAAAAAAUAUUAUCGGGUUAUUAGUCUGAUUUUGGUUUUUGAAUAUUGGUUAUUGGGUAAACCGAUAACCCAUUAAGAUUGUAGUAAUUUACUACUACACUUGUACAUAAAUAUUAAAUAUUAGAUCAUGUUUGACAUUACUGUUAAAAACAAUUUAUUUUAAGAAACACUUUUUCUAGAAUGACUUGUUAGGAAAGUGCUUUUGAAAAAAAAAACAAUGUGUUUGGUUAAUUCAAUUGAAACGAGUUUUUGAUAAGUAGAUUGUGUUUGGCUAAUCAUUUUUAAAAAUGUUUUUGAGAGUCAAAUUACGAAAAAGGGCAAAUAUCAAUGCACUUUUUAUAUGAAGAUUAUUUUAUAGAGAGAAAAUUAGUUUAAAUGUCUAUUAUGAAAUUUGGAAUGAAUUUUUUACUUUUAUUAAAUUAAUAUGUACAUAUUCAACUUUUGAAUCAAUAUUAUACAUAGAUAAAUAAAAAUAAAUUAAAUAUUAAUAUAAUAAUUUAAAUUUAAUUAAAAAUAUCAAGAAAAAUAAAUUUAAAAAUCAUUUCACAAAUUAAAUCACUACAUAUGAAAAUUCACCACAAAAAUAAAUAAAUAUAAGGAAUAUAUUGGUAAAUAUUUAUAUAUGGCAAGGAUAGUUUGGUCUUGAAAAAAGUAAUUUUAUGCUUCUGCUUAAAAAUCAUAAAUUUUUAGUUUCUUUCCAACCGUAGAAAAACUGUUUCGCCUUCCCACUAAAAGCAACUUAAACCUGUUAACCAAACACCUUAAUUUUUUUCAAGAAAUCUAUUUUUCUUAAUCAAAAUAAGUGUUUUUGGUCUCCUAACAGCAAUGUCAAACAUGCUCUUAAUCUCAACACUUUACUAGUUACUGUUUUUCUCCUUUAGCCUUUAAUUUACACUUCAUAGAGACUUUUGAGUUCAUAACUUCACCUUAUAUAAAAUGUCAAAACCUAAAGUAACAAACAUAUUCUUCUUAAUUUCUCUUUGUGUUACACUUGUAUAGUUCUUUUCUUGUUAGUUAUUACUAUUUCUAUUUUACGGGCAUUAGUAAAGUUACAUUAUUGUCUUGUCCUAUCAAAUUGUAGGAGAAGUCAUAUAUUUGUUUUAUAAAUAUUUUUUUAUUGGUUAAACCAAAAACCGAACCGUAAAUGACCAAAACCGAUAAACCAAAAAUCGAUAAGAAAUAUCUUAUUGGUUUAGCAUUUUUAAAAAUCGAAUAUCGAUAAGUCGAAAAGGAUUUUCACAUACCCAUUCAAAGGGUGAUGCUUCCAAUAAGAUUUUCUUCAUACCCAAAGCUCGAACCCGAAAUCUUUGAUUAAGGAUGGACAGUGCACCACAAACUCAGAUUGAUUUUAGUGUGAUAGUAACUAUUAUCUCUAAUAUGUAAUUUUUAUAAAAAUAUAAAAAUUAAAUUACUAUUUUUAAAUAAAUAGGAGCACCAAGUCAUGCAGUAGUAGCUCAAGCAUUUUCCCCUCCUACACUAUAUAAGUAAGCACAACAAAUUUGAUUUAGAGAGAAAGAGAGAGAAAAUGGGGAUGAAAGAAGAAAAUGCAGUGGCGAGAACUGAAGGAGGAGUAGUGGUGGUUGAUCCAAAGCCACAAAAUGGAGUCGCUGCAAAGGCAAUAGACUGGGUAGAAUGGGCGAUCAUCAAAUUGAUGAACAACUCAACCAAGCCACUCCCCCUUCUUCAGGGCAAUUUUGUACCUACUGAUGAAACUCCCCCACUUAAACACCUUCCUGUUAAAGGCCAUCUUCCGGUCAGUUUAGUUCACUAUUUUCCUAGCAAAACUUUAGGAACUAGUAAAUCGAUGUGCAUUUUGAUAAAUAGUUGGUGACAGUUCAGAUAGGAAAUAGAUACACUUGAUAGUUGAGUAGAGAACUCGCAAAAAAGUGAAGUAGUGAUACUUUAGUUUUUUUUAACAAAAUCAUUAUUGCUAAUAAUAAAGAAAUGGAACUUGUGGUGCGAAACUCCAACAACAACAACAUACCCAGUGAAAUCCUACUAAGUGGGGUUUAGGGUAGAGUAUAUGCAUACCUUACUACUAUCUCGUGGAGAUAGAGAGGUUGUGGUGCGAAACUCCCCAUCUCAUUUUUUCUGGUUAUCCAACUUUUGAAAUUUGUGGUCUUAAAUGUGUCAGAAUAUUUGUAUGAUUAUAAAAGCUCGUAAGGGUAAAAUGAUGAUUGUAUUGUAAAUUGUUCUCAAAUUGACACUAAAUAUGCUUUGACCAAUUAGAACACUAUACUUGUUGAAGUUAAUUUGUAUCAGAGUGUAAUAGACUGGGUCAUUUGCAUAGUAGCAGAAUAUGCAUCUUUGAGACUGAAUUUUUCGUAACUGUAUUCUACAGAGUAUGCUUUUGAGAGUUCAGUUCAUUACUCAUUGGAUCAUGAAAAAAAGAACCAAUUUCAUAUGCAAUUGUUAGUAGGGGAGAGGCCAGGAACUUUAGCUGUACCAAUGAAUCAGUUGAUAUAAACAAGCUUUACUUCAUAAAAAUACUAAUCAGUUGAUAUUUUGUUCCUUCUGUUGUUUCUCGACUUCCUUUUGUCCCCAUAAUACUUUCAUGUUUGCUGCAUGGAAACGGAUUGACGAUGAACAUAUUCAUUUUCUGUUAUUUCCUUAAUCUCUAGUACACAGGAGAACAUAUCGGAUGUAACCUAAGUUUUUAAGGUCAGAAGAUGCCCAUGAAAAAGAUUUUUUUAGAGGAAGAUAAAAAAAAAUGCGCAUUUCCCUAUUGAUUAACCUCUGAAGCGUUGGGAUUGGAUAUAGAUGGGAAAUCUAUAGAUCGUAGUAGUUCGCCAACCUCUCUAACUAACAUACGAUACAAUUUCACUUCACGGCCUUUUAUGAUCGCUUCGUCUAGUUGGCUUCAAAGAUAUCUAAAUCUAAUAAUCCAUUGUGAACUUUGUAUGACAGGAGUGCCUAAAUGGUGAGUUUUUCAGGGUUGGUCCAAAUCCUAAAUUUGCUCCAGUUGCUGGAUCUCAUUGGUAUUUUCUUCUCUUCAUAACCUAUUUUCAUCACUGACUUUUAUUAUUCCUUCAAUUCUUCUCUUUUCCUACACCACAACAAAUACAAUCUCUGAGGUUACAUAACAGAAGAAUUCAUCAUUCUUGUUCAUUCUUUGUUAAUGAAGAGAUUUUGUUUAGAAUUGUCAGUAUUAAACUAAGCCUUACUUCCUCUCUAUGCAGGUUCGAUGGAGAUGGGUAUGUCUCUUGCAGUCUCGGCUUUUCAAUUUAGAGUACACAUCAAAUUUUCACAAAUUAUUUUGAAAAAGAAGUGUCACUAUUGUUUUACUCUUUCACUCAUUUUGAGCGACAACGGUGUCUUCAUUUUGCUGAAACUGGAUUAGAGUAUUGCAUUUCAUGUGGUUAAUUGACUAUAUAGCUUAUAUAAUGAGGCAAGGUAUUCACAUGUGAUACUCUUUUAAUGUUUGAGGAAAAUAUUCAUGUUGUUGUACUCUUUUCUUAACUGAUCACUUCCUAUGGCUUGUUGACCUUAUGUGGCUCUUUAAACUUUUAACUCAAUAAUACUAUGUCAUAUUAGCAAUUCAGAUUUGGUAUACAGAUGGUUAUGCUUAUACCUAGAUAUUUAGAGUAAAAAUAAUUGAUGAUUAGGACAUUUCUCAAUAUCAGGGCCAACUUUGUUCAUUUUCUUGACUAUCUACUCUCUGUUAGUUAAGAGACAGCAUACAAUACAAACGAUUUAUUUUGUUAAUUGUCUUAUGAUGCAGCAUUAAGUGAUCAGUCAUGCUUUAUUAGUUCACUUUUUUUAUUUGCCUUUUAACAAUGACAACAAAAUUCAUUUGGUGUAUCUAUAUUUCUAUGUUUUAUGUUGCUUUUGAUAUGUAGAGGAGCAUAUGUGAAUGUGAAGGUAAAAAUUCUCAUUAUAUUGUCUGACAUCAGAGAAAACUGCUACCUUGAUUAACUUUGAUUUUCCUUCAGCAUGAUUCAUGGCUUGCAAAUCAAGGAUGGAAAAGCAACAUAUGUCUCACAUUUUGUGAGGACAUCACGUCUUAAGCAAGAAGAGUUCUUUGGAGGAGCCAAGUUUAUGAAGGUGAACAUUUAUUUUAAAGUUCUUACUCUCAGAUUUCUUUGUCUUGUCAAUCUUUUAUUCUAUGGAACUUUAAACAAUAAAUAUUUGAAGUUUUUAAAACUUAAUGUGAUCUUCUGUCUGUUUUUUUUAAGAAGUCAUUGAGCAUGUUCUCGCAUAAAGGAUUCUUUGUCUAGAACACUAGCAUAAAUUGUUCACUAAGUAUUUGGAAUAUUAACAUGUGAUGUUCUGUUGUUGUAUGACAUGCUCUGCUAUCCUCAUCUUAUUAUAUAACGAUCAUUACCAAAAGUAAGGAAAUGAAGGGAAAAAAAAAAGGAAGACCUCAGUUUCCUGUGGUAAACAAUGCUUUGGUUUGAGUGUGGUCAUCUACUUUUUCCUUUAUUUCAGGCACACAUUCAGCAAAAAAAAUGCUUUGCCAGUCUCCAGUCCUGUACUUUUCAAUUAUUUUAUCGCAUUUUUAUUUGGCUAAUCUUUGUUAUCUGGUACCUUACUAGGACCUCAAGAUUAUCGCAUUUUGUUGCUCCUGUUUCCUGAUAGAUUUAACCUCCCUAUGUUAAUUAUUUGUCUCCAAUUCUUUGUUCUGAAUGUGAGAUAACAAAUAAUAUUAAAGCACUCAAUGGUUUCUGUUGAGUUUUAUAAUCAUCCCACAUGAUUUAUGUAUGGAGAAAAAAAAUAAAUUUACAUGUUUAGUCCAAGACUAUUAAUUAUAAGCAUGAAUAACAAGUAUAUGGACAAAGAAAUUGAAUUUUUUUACGAUAAAAUGAAAUGUCAAUUGUUUAGUGUCACCUAACCAAAGAACCCUCAUUCGCAAGGAAAAGUUUGUCUUAGAGCCUUGAAGCGAGGAGAAGCGCUCAACAUAUUUUGAGCCGUGCUUUAGCGCACCUUUGACAACAUUGAUUAGUACUAUGGUAAUUUUGCAAUCAAAAUGAUUUUCCACUUAAAUGACCUACUCAUAUUUCUGGUCUACUUGUUCUUAAUUGAACCUGUUGUUAUGAGUGGUAAAACAUUACAAAAUGGUUCUGAAUAUCCAAUCACUUACCCAGAUUCACCUCAUAGCUAGCUACUUUCUGAUAUUGGAAGCAUUCUUAUUCAAUGUUAAGCCAUUAAUUUUGAUGUCCUCAACUUGAUGGCAUUACUGUAUCAAGGAGCCAUUUCUUUGUAUAUUAUUUAGUCUUUACUAUUCUAUUUGCAGAUUGGAGAUCUUAAAGGGCUGUUCGGGUUGUUCUCAGUAUGCAUUUACAUGCUCAGGCAAAAGCUGAAAGUUUUGGACAUUUCCUAUGGAAGUGGCACAGGUAGGACAGAAAGGUUUGAGGAUGUAUGGUGUUUUUAUCUUGAUGGUACCUUUGCAACAAGUUUUUUGUUAUAGGAAUUAAAUGUCUUGAGAAUGAUAUGCAUAUACGCGUGUUUUGUAUACCUUUGCGAGACUUAUAAAGAGGAAACAAAAAAAUUUCACCUUCUUUCAGCUAAUACAGCUAUGAUAUAUCACCACGGGAAGCUUUUGGCUCUUCAUGAGGGUGAUAAACCAUGUAAGUCACUUCUCCAUUUGAUCUAUUGACUGAAAAACUUAAGCUGUCUAUCAUCUAAAUAGUUGCUAGCCUGAAUAUGUUGUUAAGGUUCUUUGAUAUCUUAUAGUUAAUUAAUUUCUUUAGUUUAUUCUGUAAGUGUCACAACCCAAGACUACCCCUAGUCGUAACAUAGUGUUUAGAGCCACAAGUGAUCCCAAGCUAACCCAUGGUCUAGCAUGACUCUGAGAUUUAAAUUAUUAACAACUGAAGAUAACUGAUGCAGAAGUUUAAUAUGAAUAGUUUAUUAAAUCCAAAACACUAAAUGGAAUAUCUGAAUAAAACAUAAGCUGAAGCUACCAUCUGACUGUCUGAAAACCUCUAUUAAGAUGAGUUGCUGGGACAAGACCCCAGCUAACUUUAACUGUCUGAAAACUGCAAGACUUAAUAAAUGAAAUGAAUAAAAGGGUUGUCCUCGAGAGAUGAGGACUCACAAAACUCUGCUGCUGAGCUGAUACAAAAUCGUACUAACCGCGAGUUGGAUACUGACAUCUGAACCUAUCUUAUAACUACAUAGCGUAAGAAUGUUUGUGGUCAGUACUUUGAAUGUACUGAGUAUGUGAGACAUGCAUCAUAAUCUAGUAAACUGAACACUGAACAGAAUAAAUUCGAGAUACUAAACUAAACGUGAAACUGAAAUACAUGAAUUGAUGCAAUGACCAAGUAGUAAAACAUGCGUCUGACAAAUACUGAAACUGAAAUAAUAACCGACUGAAUUGUAGGAGAUACUAAUAACCGAUAUAAAACCAUGUGAGCUAAACAUGGAGUUCUAUGUAUAAUCUCCAUAAAAAAUGCCCAAUAUACCUUGCCAGGGUAUAAAAGCUGAUUUGAGCUAAUGUGGUACCAGGUGUCAAUCCUGGUCUAACGGUUGACCCUUAUGAUCCUAUGGUGGCACGUAGUUUUGAUACUUAAGGAUUUCUACUAAAGAUCUCAUUCUUAACCGGCAGGUGAACCUUCAUCUCUAUGUCCACGCAGUCCUAAGUAAUACUCCCAACUGAAUGUAUGCUGAUAGACUAACAAUACUAAUAUUCUGAUAAUACUGAAUAAUGCUGAUACAAUUGAUAAUAUGAGAAGCUCAUGAUUUCUAAUAAACUGAUAAUAACUAGUAGACACUUUAUCUGAAAGCAUCUUUAAUCGUGAAAAACUGAUAAUCUGAAAUAUGCAGCCUAAAAUAACAUAGUUCCGAGACAUGAAAUAAUACCUAUAUCCUAAGGGUUCAUGAAAAUACUAUUUAGAAGUACUGAAUUUUAGGUGAAAACACGUAAUCAAGCUAUUCAUGAUGAAGAACAGAAAAAUAUAGUGAACAUCAUUCUUUUCACAAGAACCCUUAACUUCUGUAAAAAUCAUUAACGGAAGAACUAGGUUUACUUUGGGACUCAAUGGGUGAAAGGAUAACCAUUGAUGGGAUCCCACUUACCUAGAAUGGAAAACCCCAGCUUGAAUCCUUGAACUGAAGCUUGAAGGUGAAGAAUCCUAGUUCUUGCUUGAGAGAACUUAGAACAUAUUGUUAUAAUGAUUCUAAGUGUUAGGCGUGAAUGAGGAUGUUUAUUCGACUAAAUUCCCCUUAACUCCACUUAGGAUACGCUAAAACAUCGUGGUUCAAGAGUUAAAAUAGUGGGAAAAGACCAAAAUAAUGUUAACUGAAAAGUCGUCGGAACAUUCCGCAGGGCAUCUACGGACCAUGGUUUGAUCUACGGGCUCUAGAUCCCAUCCGUGGAAUUCACACUAAAAUUUUAAGUCUCAGAAGUUCAUUCUACGAGCCUAAUUUACGACCUAUAUAUUGGUUUAUGACCCGUGGUAGAAUCCGUGAAAAGCAGGUUGAAAAAUCAGCUGUAUAAGUUCAUUUUACAAGCUCAAACUACAGAACAUAGUUUGAAGAUUGGACCCGUAUAAUCAGUUCCUGAAAUCUCUGCUGGAAGUGUCUCUAGUAAAACGGUCAUAACUUUUUACUCCGAACUCGGAUUGAUGUAAACAUGGUGGCUUUGGAAAGAACACUCUUAAGCAUAGAUUUUGUGAGGUGUUACAUUAAGACUGUAACUUUUUAAUUCCCGGAGAUGAUUUAAUAUGUAUUCAAGCCCCCAAGCAGUGAUUUGACUGAUUUUUAGUAAGAUUGCUAGUUGUUGUUGAAGUUUGUGACCGUGUGAAACUGAAGGACCCAAUUUUUGGUAUACUGUUUCAUUCUUUCUCAUAUUGACAAAAUGAAAAGUUUGUUCACAGAUGUAGUUAAAGUUCUGGAGGAUGGAGAUCUGCAAACUCUUGGCAUGAUGGAUUACGAUAAAAGGUUGCAACAUUCCUUUACCACUCACCCGAAGGUUGACCCUGUAACUGGUAAGAGAACAGUCAUGUGAAUCUACUACUAAUUAUGGAAAUAAAAUUAAUAAAUGUGACAUGCUUUAUUGGUUCCAGUCCUUUGUUCAUAAAGAAUGCUACCUAAACUAUUAGAAAGGAACAUUCAUACUGUGCCUAUCAGCCCAGCACUUCCUUGUAUCCUUUCCUUUAGUUGCAAAAUCCUCCAAAUUGUUUCUUAAAUGAACAGGGUUCUCCUCCCAUUUCAGACCCGAACGCCCUGAUUUCCAUAUAGGUCAUUACUCGAAUGGAAAUAUAAAAACCUUUGAAAUUUUUUGUUAAUAUCUACUACCAUAUUAUGAAAGUACACUUAAGUAAUUAGUAGUGGAGAUGACAAGAAUUGUGGAACUGAGUUUGACUCAAUUCAAGUUAGGUAGCCUUUAUUCGGGAAAGAACUUAGGUAUCGAGGUGCAUUUUGUUCAAAUGUACAACAAAAGCCAAAUAUGGAUCCAAAGUAAAGCUGGGGAGUAAAAUAUAUGAUGAUUUAUUAUAUCGUAUAUUAUUUUGCAAAUACAAAGCUUGAUUUGAAAAUAUUUGCAUACAGGGGAAAUGUUUACUUUUGGCUAUUCGCCGACACCACCUUUCGCUACAUAUAGAGUCAUAUCCAAGCAUGGUGUCAUGCAAGAUCCAGUUCCAAUAACGAUACCAGCAUCUGUUAUGAUGCACGAUUUUGCUAUUACUGAAAAUUAUGCAAUUAUGAUGGAUCUUCCGAUGUACUUCAGACCAAAGGUAUGCCUCCUUUACAAAAAAAAAAUCAAUUAAUUUAUGCUUGGAAGAGUUUUGGAUUUCCUCUCCUGAUGACUAUAACAGAAGCCAUUCUUAAAGAGGGAUUUUUGUCUUGUAUAAAAUGUUCUCCUUUCCUCUUUGAGUCAUCAGCUAUUUUGUCUCUUUAGUUUGGAACUCCGUUUUCGGUCUUUUUCUUGAACAUGGAACUUGUAGAAGGAAGUUUCAAAUUGUUGCCGUAUUGGAGUGUUCUAGAAGAUGCAUUCGAGAUAAUUGAAGUGUGUAAAACUGAUGCACGGUCUUUAGACGACACAUCAAAACCAAAACAGUGAAGUAGCAUCAUCUUCUUUAUAAGUUUGAGUGCUUGGAGACAAUGUCGUUGUCGUAUAAGCAAAGGGGUAACGUAAAUUUAUGGAGAAAUGGGGCUAAAUGAUUUUGAAUUUCUUGGGAUUGUAAGUAAAUUCUGGUGGACGAAGUUCAAUUACAUGACUGGAUGUUUGAGAUGCUUAUUAAUCUAAGAUCAGUGAGACAUUUAUGAAUCAACUGACUUCUUAUUUAUUCAUUUUGCUUCUAAAGAGUGCAGAUGUGUCUCCCUCAAAUUAUACUCUUAUGACUUAUCUAUGUUGUAAAAGAAUAAUACAUUGCAGUCUAUGAUGUGGAGAUCGAUUGGAUAAAGCCAAACUUGGAAAAUUAGACAUUAAAUGUGAAAUAAUGAAUGUUUUUUCUUUUUUACUGUUGGAUGAUGUAAAGUUGAAUGUGAAUGCAAUAGACUUGGGUAUUCAACUCGUCUUCAAGUGCCUAACGAAUAAUCUAUGGCUCCUUCAAGUCCAAUAUUCGUCCGAUGAACUUUGGGAUGUGCUAUCCAUAUGCACAAGGAAGUUAACAACAUGUUGUCUACAUGUUUACGCUUGAAAGUUCCCUCAUGCUUGUUUUCAAAAUUAAUCAUGAAAGUGAGUUCAGAUGAUUAAUGAGCUGCUAUGUAUUUUUUAGGAAAUGGUGAUAAAUAAACAGCUGGUAUACAGCUUUGACCCCACAAAGAAGGCUCGUUUUGGAGUUUUUCCACGCUACGCAAAGAAUGAAGCCCUAAUCAAGUGGUUCGAGCUUCCUAAUUGCCUCAUAUUCCACAAUGGUAUGAAGUUUUAGAAUUUGAAAUUCUUUUGAUUUUUAUAUCUGAAAUUCGGAAGUUCAUGUCCCUUGAUGGGAAAAUAGAAUAGAACUCUAGCCAAGAGGUACAUGUCAGUGUAUAAUUGUACACUUCAAUUGGUAAUCCUCUUAAGAAAUAUCUCCAUUAAGCUGGUUACAGAAAAUAAUUAUCACGUAGAGCAGGUUUAUUUCCAGUGACAUUUUACAUUUUGUCCUUUACUUCUUCUGCAAAUAUUUGCCAGUUUUCCUAAGCUGUUGGAUGGUAAAUAUUAGGCGUAAUGCAUAAACAGACACUCAAACUUGGCCUCAACUGGCAAGUAAACACUCUAACUAAACGAAUGCACGUGUCUAGAUAUGCACUCUUAAAUUUGGAGUGUUUACUUGCCAACUGAGAUCAAGCUUGAAUAACUUCACUUCACUCAAACUGGCAUGUGGCUACAUUUACCUUAGAUAAAACUGUGGGACUUGGGAUGACACAUGUGCAAUUAUAAUUUGUGGAUAAUCGCUCAAGAAAGUUGAGGACUAACCCAUAAGCUACUUACAGUAUAAGUGAAACAUUUAAAGGAUUGGAUUUAUCUGCAUACAACUGUGCUCCUGAAAGAAGUUACUCAAGUAAGUUUUUAAUUGAUUCCUUUGGCGGAAAAGGAGUCUGAGUACCUUCAUAGAAACUUCCUCUUUGAUAAAGUAACAAACUGAAAGAAAGUAGGGGAUUCGACGAUUGUAGAUGGUCUCUCGUCCUGAUGUAUGAUCUUGACAUAUUUCCGUGUGAGCUCCGGGGCACUAAUAAGUGGGUGGGUAUCUUGAAAGCCUCAUGCUAGGUCUAUGCUGCACAAAAGAGAAAACCUUUUCUUACUCUUCAACUCCCAGUAAUUUCUUCCUUUUUCUAUCAAAAUAGAGUGAGUGCAAAGCGUAAGGUGGAUAUCUUGAAAGCCUCAUGCUAGGUCUAUGCGGCACAAAAAAAAACAGAUUUCUACCAACCAACUGAGAAAACAGCUAUCAACUUCAUUGAACCUGCUUCCUGAUAUACUUUUAUACAAAUUUGAAGAGAUGGAUACUCUUUGGAACCAAUGUAGAUGAUUUGCACUUCUCAGAUCGUCUUGUUGGACAUAACGACUACCUUAAUUUGAGUGACUUCUAUUAAAGACUGCAAAAACCCAAAAAUGUUUAUCCUUUUAUCGGACACCACCAUUCAUAAACUUCAACGAAUCUCAAGAUAUAAAUGCCUUAAGUCUUACUAACCAAUCCAAACUGAGUUUUAUUUCAUUGCUUUACCAGCCAAUGCUUGGGAGGAGGGAGAUGACGUGGUCUUGAUCACUUCCCACCUGCAGAAUCCAGAUCUAGACGCGAUUAAUGGAACUGAAAAAGAAGAACAGCGUGACGGUUUCACAAAUGAGUUGUGGGGAAACUCUAGCCUGAUGAUCUUAAUUGAUUUUCAGAUCUUCCAAGUAUCUUGAUUUUAGUCUUAAUUGUCAGGUAUGAGAUGAGGUUCAAUAUGAAAAAUGGUGUAGCAUCACAGAAGAAACUGUCAGAGGCUGCUGUUGAUUUUCCACGGAUCAACGAGAACUACACUGGAAGGUCAGCUAUUACAAGAUUUUCAUUUUAAUUCUUAAAUUGCUGCACUACGUAAAAUAUCCAGAAUGUGGAAUAAUGGCUGUUAAAAUGCUGCAUAGGAAGUUAGGAACACCUUCAUCUGCUGGCUGUCUCUCUUGCUUCGUCUUUUAUUCACAGCGUUGAGAGAUUGCUUGCCUUAACUUUAGUAAUUUGAUCAUAUCAUUUUCAUUCCUUAUGUGCCUUAAUUUUAGCGAUUUGAUCAUCUCAUUUUCAUUCCUUAUGUCAUUGUGAUGAUACUGACUUUUACGAAAUUUAGGAAGCAACGCUAUGUAUAUGGAACCAUUUUAAACAACAUUUACAAGAUCACAGGAAUUGUCAAAUUUGAUUUGCAUGCGGAAGCAGAGACUGGAAAAACAAAGAUUGAAGUCGGUGGAAAUAUUCCUGGAAUUUGCGACCUUGGACCUGGAAGAUUUGGCUCAGAGGCAGUAUUUGUUCCCCGUCAGCCUGGGACAGAAUGUGAAGAGGACGACGGCUACUUGAUAUUGUUUGUACAUGAUGAGAACACUGG
rnacentral:lncRNA from 1 species